rnacentral:lncRNA from 1 species
AAAAAAUAUGGCAAAGAUGGAUGUGCUGAUGUGACAACAAGACAGAAUUGGCAAAUUCGAGGUGUAACAUUACCUGAUGUCCCUGAAAUUCUUAAGGGCCUUGCAGAGGUUGGCUUGACAAGUCUGCAGAGUGGAAUGGACAAUGUUAGAAACCCUGUUGGUAACCCUCUUGCUGGUAUUGAUCCUGAUGAGAUUGUUGAUACAAGACCUUACACCAAUUUGUUGUCCCAAUUCAUCACUGCUAAUUCACUUGGUAAUCCAACCAUUACAAACUUGUAAGUCUACACUUUCUCGUCUUCAAAUUUCACUCAUAAUAUCACAUGAACAUUUUAUGUUUAUCUCUUUAUAAAUAUAAAUAAAUGAGUAUAAAAUCCAUUUACUUGCAUUGCAAGC